GAUGAACGCUGGCGGCGUGCCUAAUACAUGCAAGUCGAGCGAACGGAUGAGAAGCUUGCUUCUCUGAUGUUAGCGGCGGACGGGUGAGUAACACGUGGAUAACCUACCUAUAAGACUGGGAUAACUUCGGGAAACCGGAGCUAAUACCGGAUAAUAUUUUGAACCGCAUGGUUCAAAAGUGAAAGACGGUCUUGCUGUCACUUAUAGAUGGAUCCGCGCUGCAUUAGCUAGUUGGUAAGGUAACGGCUUACCAAGGCAACGAUGCAUAGCCGACCUGAGAGGGUGAUCGGCCACACUGGAACUGAGACACGGUCCAGACUCCUACGGGGGGCAGCAGUAGGGAAUCUUCCGCAAUGGGCGAAAGCCUGACGGAGCAACGCCGCGUGAGUGAUGAAGGUCUUCGGAUCGUAAAACUCUGUUAUUAGGGAAGAACAUAUGUGUAAGUAACUGUGCACAUCUUGACGGUACCUAAUCAGAAAGCCACGGCUAACUACGUG
rnacentral:rRNA from 1 species